UGAGGUGCAUCACAGCAGACUCUGAGCAAUCUCCCAGGCAAGGAGCUCCCUUCAGGCACUGGGAGUGAUGCAGAAAUGCCCCCUGACUGUGCUCUGUAUGAGGAGAAGUGCUGCUGAGCUGGCAUUGACAUUCGGAGAGGAUGAUGUUGUCGCUUUUCUGGUUUCCCAUGCUCUGCUGUGAAAAACUCUGAUUUACAGGACCAGGUCACUGUUGUCAUUCGUUACACUGAGAGGUUUGCUAACAGAGCACAGAGGUUUGUUGUUGUAGCAGAAAUGCCGAGUCACAGCCUGAAGCACUGAUGGAGCAACUGGUGGGAAGGCAAGGCCAGCCCAGGGGCCUCAUUUAAGUGCUGAUAGUGGAGGUAAGGGGCCUUUGUUGGAUAUUCCUGCCUACUUGAGGCCUUCUAAAGACUUCUGGAUUCUGUGGGAGCAGCUGCCCCAUCCAGUGCCCCAAGGUUGUGGGAUGUGGUGUGUGGAUGUGGGGCUGGUGGAGAACACAAGCCAUCAAAAUGUGCUUCCAUAACAAAGGCCACAGGCCUAAUGUGUGGCAUAUUAUUAUACAGCACAGUCAUUUCCAGAAGUUACAGGCUGGAACUUGUGCACAAGAGCAUCUGGAUGUUGAACUUACAGGUGAUUUCCAUAAAGAAUAGCACAGGUGUGUUACCUGUGGAAUAUCAUGAUGCUGAAGGGUGGUGAACUGGGAGAGCCUAUAGACAUCAUCAGGAAGUAGAAGAGAACAUACGCUGUGAGUGCUCAUGAGAAGGCUCAAGAGGAUCUUCUCCAUUCCUGUAUUUGUACACAAUAAUAUGACAAAGGAACAGAAGCCAGGUUCCUCGUGGUGCCCGGAGCAGGGCAGGAGGCACUGGAGUGCAGGAAAUUAAUGUUAUAGACUUCUUUGGAGUGAGUCAAAUGCUGCCAUGGGUUGCACAGAGGUGGUGGAGGGAACAUCCUUGAAGAUAUCCAAAGCCCAGCAGUUGGGCACUGUGACACUUACCAGUGUAACUAAAUGCCUGUUGGUGGCUGACAGCAUCCCCGUGUGUGUGCAGUGCUCUGCUGGAGAUGUACCCUGGUUUCAAGCAAAGAGCUGUUUUAACCAGUUUUGUUAAUGAGACUGGUAAUAAGUAAUCUUCCUUUAAUUCAUUCUUUCUCCUUCACAAUAUAUACUUUACACACACUUGCUAAGAGAAAAAACCAUCUCAGAGGAACUAAAAUCCUCCUUCUCUGUAUGGAUUUUUCUGAAGUUCCUUAGCAGGUGGUGCUUUAUGGAACGAACAGCCACUUUGUUUAAUAAUAAAACUAAAUCAACUUGGUUCAAAGUGUAAGGAUUAAUCCCUCCCACUCACUGCUCAAGGUGUUUUCAUCGCUGUGCUUCUCCUUUCUUCCAGCUUGUUUCUUGUUGCACUGUGCUGCACCAAGAGACUGCUUUACCCCACCUGUGUACAGUACAGAAAACACUAAUCACUGCACAGUUCUAAUGUCAAAAUUGGUACUGAAGCAAAAGAAUCGGCGUUAAACAGCUGACUUCUUUCCAGAGAAUGGCUCUGAAUACAGAUUAAAUGAAUUGAUGUGGCAGUGGGGGUGCUGGGAAGCAGUGGUGCUGUGAGGUGCUCGAGGGGGCUAUAGAAUGAAGUAUCACACAGGAGGAUAUGGGCUGCGUGGGGGAGGUGGGUUUUUGUGAGUGCUGUAUUUUGGCACAUUGUGGACCCCCAACUGCUGCCCAGCUCACCCCAAAGCCCAGCCUGGCUGGUAGCAGGAAGAGGAGGUGACUGAUAGGGAUUGAUCAUGGCGUGCUGCUGAGGGCAUUGCUGGGAGACGGUUGAUGCUAUUGACUCUGCUGUCACUAUUACUGCGCUGAAGAGUUGUUUGGAGCCCCUUUGUCAGCGUUUACAAUCCAUAAGGUUCUAUCAUGCUCAGUGCUAUCAAUAACAGUGCUUUAAAACCA